rnacentral:rRNA from 1 species
AGGGAAUCUUCCGCAAUGGACGAAAGUCUGACGGAGCAACGCCGCGUGAGUGAUGAAGGUUUUCGGAUCGUAAAACUCUGUUGUUAGGGAAGAACAAGUACGAGAGUAACUGCUCGUACCUUGACGGUACCUAACCAGAAAGCCACGGCUAACUACGUGCCAGCAGCCGCGGUAAUACGUAGGUGGCAAGCGUUGUCCGGAAUUAUUGGGCGUAAAGCGCGCGCAGGCGGUCUUUUAAGUCUGAUGUGAAAGCCCACGGCUCAACCGUGGAGGGUCAUUGGAAACUGGGAGACUUGAGUGCAGAAGAGAAGAGUGGAAUUCCACGUGUAGCGGUGAAAUGCGUAGAGAUGUGGAGGAACACCAGUGGCGAAGGCGACUCUUUGGUCUGUAACUGACGCUGAGGCGCGAAAGCGUGGGGAGCAAAC